GAUGAACGCUGGCGGCGUGCCUAAUACAUGCAAGUCGAGCGAACGGACGAGAAGCUUGCUUUUCUGAUGUUAGCGGCGGACGGGUGAGUAACACGUGGAUAACCUACCUAUAAGACUGGGAUAACUUCGGGAAACCGGAGCUAAUACCGGAUAAUAUUUUGAACCGCAUGGUUCAAAAGUGAAAGACGGUCUUGCUGUCACUUAUAGAUGGAUCCGCGCUGCAUUAGCUAGUUGGUAAGGUAACGGCUUACCAAGGCAACGAUGCAUAGCCGACCUGAGAGGGUGAUCGGCCACACUGGAACUGAGACACGGUCCAGACUCCUACGGGAGGCAGCAGUAGGGAAUCUUCCGCAAUGGGCGAAAGCCUGACGGAGCAACGCCGCGUGAGUGAUGAAGGUCUUCGGAUCGUAAAACUCUGUUAUUAGGGAAGAACAUAUGUGUAAGUAACUGUGCACAUCUUGACGGUACCUAAUCAGAAAGCCACGGCUAACUACGUGCCAGCAGCCGCGGUAAUACGUAGGUGGCAAGCGUUAUCCGGAAUUAUUGGGCGUAAAGCGCGCGUAGGCGGUUUUUUAAGUCUGAUGUGAAAGCCCACGGCUCAACCGUGGAGGGUCAUUGGAAACUGGAAAACUUGAGUGCAGAAGAGGAAAGUGGAAUUCCAUGUGUAGCGGUGAAAUGCGCAGAGAUAUGGAGGAACACCAGUGGCGAAGGCGACUUUCUGGUCUGUAACUGACGCUGAUGUGCGAAAGCGUGGGGAUCAAACAGGAUUAGAUACCCUGGUAGUCCACGCCGUAAACGAUGAGUGCUAAGUGUUAGGGGGUUUCCGCCCCUUAGUGCUGCAGCUAACGCAUUAAGCACUCCGCCUGGGGAGUACGACCGCAAGGUUGAAACUCAAAGGAAUUGACGGGGACCCGCACAAGCGGUGGAGCAUGUGGUUUAAUUCGAAGCAACGCGAAGAACCUUACCAAAUCUUGACAUCCUUUGACAACUCUAGAGAUAGAGCCUUCCCCUUCGGGGGACAAAGUGACAGGUGGUGCAUGGUUGUCGUCAGCUCGUGUCGUGAGAUGUUGGGUUAAGUCCCGCAACGAGCGCAACCCUUAAGCUUAGUUGCCAUCAUUAAGUUGGGCACUCUAGGUUGACUGCCGGUGACAAACCGGAGGAAGGUGGGGAUGACGUCAAAUCAUCAUGCCCCUUAUGAUUUGGGCUACACACGUGCUACAAUGGACAAUACAAAGGGCAGCGAAACCGCGAGGUCAAGCAAAUCCCAUAAAGUUGUUCUCAGUUCGGAUUGUAGUCUGCAACUCGACUACAUGAAGCUGGAAUCGCUAGUAAUCGUAGAUCAGCAUGCUACGGUGAAUACGUUCCCGGGUCU
rnacentral:rRNA from 1 species